UGGGAAUGUCUGCAAAAAAUCAGCAAUUAUUGAGAUGUAUAUAAACCCAAAUUCUAAUACGUACUCUUCUCCUUUAAAUAGGCAUGCAGCACAUCCUCGUCCUCAAAGUUAACAAUAGCCAGAGUACAGUUCGGCAUGUAGAAGUCCGUGAGAAGAUCAUCAAACAUCAUAUAUUGUGAUAAAUGGUGAGGAAUCGUCGGUGCUCCACAUUAGUCCACAACUCAAAGGCCAACGAGAAGGGCUUCUCUGCAGUAUAGUCGCGCGUAAAAUCAUUUAUCUCAAGAAACUUAGAUGCAUGCAUUUCGCUGAUCAAGGAUUCGAUCUGUAAAAUAUCAUAAAGAAAAGUCUUAAUUUGGGAUAUACAUAUACAUAUUUUAAAGUUGACUGAUAAUAAUAUAAAUAAUGUACAAAAUUA